rnacentral:rRNA from 1 species
AAUAUUGCAUAAUGGGGGAAACCCUGAUGCAGCAACGCCGUGUGAGCGAUGAAGGCCUUCGGGUCGUAAAGCUCUGUCCUAAGGGAAGAUAAUGACGUUACCUUAGGAGGAAGCCCCGGCUAACUACGUGCCUGCAGCCGCGGUAAUACGUAGGGGGCAAGCGUUAUCCGGAAUCAUUGGGCGUAAAGGGUGCGUAGGCUGCCCUAUAGGUCAGAGGUCAAAGGCUACGGCUCAACCGUAGUAAGCCUUUGAAACUGUAGGGCUGGAGUGCAGGAGAGGAGAGCGGAAUUCCUAGUGUAGCGGUGAAAUGCGUAGAUAUUAGGAGGAACACCAGUGGCGAAGGCGACUCUCUGGACUGCAACUGACGCUGAGGCACGAAAGCGUGGGUAGCGAACA